rnacentral:piRNA from 1 species
CCUAGGGUUUUGUACAGGCUUGC